UCCUUCGGGGUCCUGAGAGUGGCGAACGGGUGAGUAACACGUAGAUAAUCUGCCUCGAGAUUGGGGAUAGCCCAUGGAAACAUGGGAUAAUACCGAAUAUACUCUUUUCUUGAUGAAGAGAAGAGGAAAGGCGCGUUUGCGCUGUCUUGAGAUGAGUCUGCGGCGUAUUAGCUUGUUGGUAGGGUAAAGGCCUACCAAGGCGAUGAUACGUAGCCGGCCGGAGAGGGUGAUCGGCCACACUGGGAUUGAGAUACGGCCCAGACUCCUACGGGAGGCAGCAGCUAAGAAUCUUCCGCAAUGGGCGAAAGCCUGACGGAGCGACGCCGCGUGGGUGAUGAAGGUCUGAUGAUUGUAAAACCCUUUUUGUGUUGAGGAAUAAGGCGAGAAGGAAAUGUCUCGCCGAUGACGUUAGACACAGAAUAAGCCCCGGCUAAUUACGUGCCAGCAGCCGCGGUAAUACGUAAGGGGCAAGCGUUGUUCGGAUUCAUUGGGCGUAAAGGGCGCGCAGGCGGCUUCGAAAGCUCCGUGUGAAAUCCCGUGGCUUAACCACGGUUCCGCGCGGGGAACUACGUAGCUAGAGUUUCGGAGGGGAAGCUGGAAUUCCGGGUGUAGGGGUGAAAUCCGUAGAUAUCCGGAGGAACAUCAGAGGCGAAGGCGAGCUUCUGGACGAAAACUGACGCUGAGGCGCGAAGGCGUGGGGAGCAAACAGGAUUAGAUACCCUGGUAGUCCACGCUGU
rnacentral:rRNA from 1 species